AGAAAACUUAGGAAUAGAGAAUUGUGUGUGAAUUCUUCCAACUUUUAAAUAUUGGGUCACUUAAAAAAUGGGUAAUAAUUAGAAAGACGAAUCUGUCUGGGAACUAAAUGAGUCUCAUCCACAGGUCAGAUUUAGCUCACAGGUCAUCAGUUAGAGAUCUCUGCUCUGGCCCAACCCACCUGCUGUACAGAUGCAAGAACUCAGGUUCUGAAACAGGCCUGGAAAACCUCAGGUCACACAGUGAGUUACAGGCAAAGUCCAGACUCAAAUGCAGAUAGAUGCUCAUUUCACUGCUCUGUGCUACCCCACAGCUACUACCUCCCUCUGGAGGGCUAUUUAAAGAGAAGGGAUCGGAAUUUUUCCAUAACCCCACUACAGUACUAGCUUCUCUCAAGCUGAAUUUUCCCAAACUCUUCUUUUUACACAGAAGGACUCUGAAACCCAGAAAUUAAAACAAGAUGUGCUUUCUCCCCUAUUGUAAUGACAAGGCUAGGGCAGAACCCAGGCCUCCUGGUUCCCAGUCUAGCCUUGCUUUUACCAGUUCUCUAAGUACUCAAAGCACUCCCUGGGGCAAGGGCUAUAUUCAGCUUGCAGUGAAUUGCUGAAAUACUCUGUUCCUAAGCAUAUCCGACAAUCCAAAUUAUCAUACCCAGGACCAGCCCCAUAGGCUACAUCACCUUAAAUCUUCUCUCCACAGGGCCUGACUUGCCGGCCUGGCAGGUCGCUUCUCUUCUCUGAUGAAUGAUAAACACAACUGCAGCAGGCACGCAGCCCCACCAGCCAGUUCCGAUUUGUCUGCUAAUUGGAGCCUGGGCAAGGCUGGCAUGAUGCCGUCUGUCAGUCUGUUAGUGAGCAGUGUGGGAGAGAAGAGCACAGAACACAGAGUUCAGGAAACCAGACUUGGGAUUGUGGCUGACGAGCAGAUUGGCUUUGAGGAAAAGACGAAUCUCCCUAAGCCUCACUUGACUCAUCUGUGAAGUGGACAUUAUGAAGCUUGCCCCAUAGGUUUUGCCAAUGUCCAUAGUCAAAAAGGGGGUUGGAGCCUAAAGGGGGUGAAAUCUGAGGUCUUGGCUUAUAACCUUUAAAUGAUCCCCAUUACCUACGUGCUAAAGUCCAAAGUCAGUUCCAGGCAGGUGUGAUCUGACCCCAGCAUCCUGUCCCACCCUCCCUCCGUUCUACCUUCCUCCCCUCUCUUGAUAGAAACAACUGACAUUUACUGGAUGCUUACCCUGUGCCAGACGCUGUGCUAAGCACUUUAUGUUCAUUAACUCACAUCUUUCUCCCAACAUUCCUAUAGGAGGCACUGUUAUAACUUAACAACAAAAACCAGCUUGGGAAGCUGAAGGAACUGGCCCAAAGAUCCCCACUCGUGAAAGGAUUGAGAUUGGAACCAACUCCAGCUCUAGAGGUUGGCUCUGACAUUUUGUCAACUGAACUCCAUUCACGGCCAAAACUCCUCAGAAGUUUAAGAGGUCACCCUCCCAUGGGUAAAUAUUGGCAGGCCUUUUUCUGGAGAUGAUGGUGCUGAAAAAGUUUGCUGAUCCUUGGCAUAAGAGGAUGCAAACUCCAAACAGAAUAAUCCUCAGAGUCUAGGGUGAGAGUCUCAUUUUAGAUCUACAAAAGAAAGAACAGUGAUGUGUGAACCUAUAACACAAGCAGACAGAAGAUCAGUUGAGGGGUGACUCCCAUGGCCAGAGAAUUUAAAAGUUAUCGAAGAAAAUCAAGAAAUAAUUGAGGCCAACCCAUUUUAAGGAUGUGGACACUGGGACCCAGAAAAAGAACUGAUUUCCUGGGAAAAUAGAGCUGUUUGGUGGCAUCACUGGGAUUGUACCCGGAUCUCUGGGUUCCCGCCCUGAUGUGAGCCUGGACACUGGUCCACUCUAGUUGCUGACAGUGAGUAUUCAGGAAUCUAUCAGCUAUAAUCUGCCAUUCUCCUGGAAGCACAGAUGGACUGGCUAAUUGCCUUUGCCCUCUCUCUGGAGUUUGGAAGGCCUCUUUGCUCCAAGCUAGCGGACAGCUCUCCUGAGCCUGCAGGUUAUUAUGCCCCAUAUGCGGGUGUAACCCCAGAGGUGUAACCCAGGAGAAGUUGGGCAUCCAAUUGCUCCACAUCUGUCCAGAGCCCCAGGUACUUGGCAUGUCUCUGGCCCCCAGGGCACUGGUGCUCAGACACAGCAGGAACAUCUCCCUAGUGUCCCCACUGCCUUCCUAGAGGGCAUUCCUCCUUACUGUUGCCACCACCCUGUUUGGGGAGUUCGGUACUGUUUCCAUGCUCUGCCAUCCCCUUUUUAUAGAAAAUCACUGUCCACAUAAUGUUAGCUCCCCGCCCCUUGAAGUCAUAGCCCUACCUCACCCAUCCCUUUUGGAUUACCCAUUCCUUCCCCUAGAUCUUGACAGUAGCCUGGAACUCACUGGAUUUCACCUUCAGUUGUCAGUGUCCACCCUGAAGCCACUUCCUCUGGCCUGGUGUUCUUAUCAGCCUGCAAACAGUCAAAGCCAUUGAUCAAGAAAAUGCUCAGGCCCAGGCUUCCCCAAUGUUGAUUUUCUUGCCACUGGCCCUCUAAGCCCUCACAGCCUCCUCUCUGCUCUCCACUCCUGCCCUACCUGCCCCCCCAACCCCAGCCCUCCACAAUGCCAAAACUAUACAGACAAAGCCAAAGGCUGGCUCUUUCUUCAAGUACAGGUACUGAGGAAUUAAUUCUUUAGGAUGGCCUUUUACAAAAAAGAAGUCCAAGUUACCUGGUCAUAUAAACUUGGAAAAUACUGGUUAGACGGAAUGCAACAAGAUCCCUUACUGCAAGGUUGUCAGAGCCUUUACCACGCUGAUAUGCAAUGUGCCCCCUCCAAGCACAUCGUAUCGAAUAGUGUUUCCAACACGGGUUCGACUGUACCUAAAGAGCAGUGCUCUCUACAAAUACAUUUUAGGAAACAUUUAACCCUUUUCUGUACCUUAGUACUAACAAAUUUCAACACUGCCACUUAUUUGCUGUGUGACUUCAGGCGAGUUGUUUUGCCUCUCUGUGCCAGUGUUUACAUGAGUAAAAGCAAAUAAGGGCAAGAUAGGGGUUGGACAGGAUGCUCACUGAAGCCCCCACUGGCACUGGCAUUUUCCAGUUCCCCUGUCUGUAUUUUCUGACACGUGUCUGCCUCCAAACGCACAGACAGCAGAGAUGCUGUAGAUCGAUAACAGCAUGGCACUAACAAGACGUGCAUACAAUGAGACACAGUGGAUGACUUUGUGAGUGGCUGAGAUACUUUCUGGAGGUUGAAAAUCGUUUUUAUUUAGCCGACAUCACAUGUCCAUUAAUGGCACUCAGCAUCCCCAGGGAUUGAGCGUGGCUUGUAACUCAGUGACAGACAAGGGACUGUAAGGCUCAGGGAAUUUCACUGGGGAUUCAGAUGCCACCCAUGGUCCCUGCAGACCAGGCAGUGCUCAAAAGCAUGGAGGCAUCAGAGAUCCCAUUCUUAUCCAGGACACCACAUUGCCUGGGAGGCACCGCAUCGAUACUAAAACAACUAAGUUAGGGUAGAUGUGGUAAUAUCAGAGAGAGUUGUAGAGGGACGCUAGAAACACAUUCACAUACCGCAGGGAACACCAGGCAAGCUGAAUUGUGAGGUCCUUUCCAGCCCUGGGCUUCUGGGAUUCCCUUGGGUGCCUUUUGUGUGCAAUCUACUAGUCUAGAUAUAGAGGAGAAAACAAAUGUGAAGAAAACACACAUCUUACCGUUAAGAGGUAUAAUCCUUUAGACACGCUGGGAUAAAGGUGUUUUAUCAUCAGAUAAGUUUCAGAAUGUUGCCCACAUAUUCCCUGCCCCCUGGAAAUCCUCAGCAUACACUAUAUGUUAAAGGCUCUGAGAAGUCUGGGGUCAAGCUACGUAACUGGGGAAUCCAAGGUCACCCACAUCUAUUUGACCAUGCAACUCUUCUUUCUGAACCUCUCCUAACAGAUCAUAGAAUUAUUGUUUCCUACAAUGAGAAUCACAUGUCAGACCUGGAAAGGACCUGAUGGUAGCUUUUAGGCAGGUCCCACACCUCAGAUAAGGAGGAACCAUUCCAUUGUGAUGAUCUUGAGUGGGCCAGUGAAAACCCUCCCCUGGGACUUUCUGAACUGUCUCUGGAUCCUUGACUGAGACUCUCAGGGUGUGAUCCCAGAGUUGGCAGUUGCUGCCUUGGCCUGUCACAUCAUGAUGGUAUGGUAUGACUGAGCUGCUAUGCUGCUGUCAUACGUGGAAACCCCCUGCCCCUCUGUCCCUCACCCCCUUCAAAAAAGGAGGAGAGAAAAAAAGAGAAUGUGCCAGUCAAGUGUAUUCCUACUUACAGUUCCGAAGAUUUCUGCAGCUGCUGUGAUUAUUAUAGCUUUUCCUUCCUUUUUUAUUUUUUUUCUGCAUGUAGUCUCAGCCUCUUUCUAGGAAAUCCUUUUCCCCCUUUUCUUUCUUUCUUUCUUUCUUUUUUUUUUUUUAAAUUAAACCGUGUAAGUCAAAACUCUCUCUGUCACGAAUUAAAGAAAACUUACUCAAACUGACUUAUGCAAAAAGUUAACUUCUUGGAUCCUAUGACUUCAUAGUCUAGAAGGAGAGCUAGCUCUGGCCACGGCUGGAUACAGGUAUACCAACACCAUCAUCAGGACCUGGGUUCUUUCUCUCAGUCUCAGCAAUGCUUCCUCUCUGUGGUCUCCAUUCUCAGAAAGGCUUGCCCUUAUGGUGGCAGAAAUGGCGGCAGCUGCUCUAACUUCAGGUGCAAUCCAACAGAAAGUGGCCAAAGGCGUGGCAGGUGGUACCUGCAAAAGUUAUUACGUGUCACUCUGGUUGAACCAGCUUAGGUCUGCUGCCCAACAUAGAACCAGUCAGUAUCAUCAGGUGUUUUCAUUCUCCA